CUCAUUCUGUCACAAGAGGAACAUAUCUGCAUUUGUUUAUUAUACUGCCAGGACUGGAUAACAGGACUUUGUGGAAGCUUUACUUUUUGUGUAGUUGUUAGUUGGGACUGAAACAGAGGGCUGCUAUGGCUGACACACGCUCUCAGCCCCGGGCCUCUGGCUCGGCUGCUAAAAUGGACCAGGUUCAGAGUCAGGUGAACGAGGUUAAAGUUAUUCUGACAGAUGACAUCAGCAAAGUGCUGGAGAGAGAGGACAGAUUAUUAGAUGAUCUGAUCGGCAAGGCUGAUGCCCUGCAGGCGUGUGCUGACUUGUUCGAAAAAACACCCGGACAGGUUGCCCGGAAAUACUGGUGUAAAAGCAUGUGUUGUGAGGGGACUGCGGAUGGAAAUUAGCUUAAAGCAAAAAAUCCGGCUCAUUUACACUUGUAAGCAUUGUUUUUGUUUUAAAGUGUUCAUCGAUGUGCACUGUCCCGGUUCAAAUAAACGAUUAAAUAAAAUCUUUGCCACAAAUGUUAUAUAAAUCACCAAAUAUUCUCCUUCACCAGCUCAGGACUGAAAGCAGUGAAAAUUGAGGAUAAAGCUCACGUCUUUCAUUGAGCAUUUCAGCAUUUAAAUGCACUCUUGAAAGUGUAUUUUCAUUUCAGCAGAUAUUUUAAGAAAUAUUUAUGCACAUUUUAAGGGUACAUGUUUUUGUAGCAUCUGCAGGCUUUUUGACUCUCCGUAAAAUAAGAAGUUUAAAUUCAGAAUGCACAACUUAAAUUGCUAGAAACUUGACUGAAAUACUUCCUUGAACACUCCAACAUUCAUUAAAAUGUGACUUAAUGUUAAUAUUUCACAAAGGAUCACAAAUCCAAAUGAGUGUUAUUAUUUGUAUUGUUAUCGCAUAUCUUUAUGUCCAAUUACCUGUAAUGUGUGUUUAUGACUGUCAAACUCUAUAAUAACAUAUGUAUUAUAUGACUGAUGAUUAUGAUGAAGAGGAUACAUUUUAACAUUUGCUACCACAAUAUUGUAUAUAAAUAAUAUGUUCUGCUCCAAACAAUCAAGCAUUUUGAUUAUGUAAUUUGAGAGCAUUAAAUACAAAAACAAGAAGGG